rnacentral:rRNA from 1 species
UACGUAGGGCGCGAGCGUUGUCCGGAAUCACUGGGCGUAAAGGGUGCGUAGGCGGGUUUCUAAGUCAGAGGUGAAAGCCUGGAGCUCAACUCCAGAACUGCCUUUGAUACUGAGGAUCUCGAGUUCGGGAGAGGUGAGUGGAACUGCGAGUGUAGAGGUGAAAUUCGUAGAUAUUCGCAAGAACACCAGUGGCGAAGGCGGCUUACUGGUCCGGUUCUGACGCUGAGGCGCGAAAGCGUGGGGAGCAAACAGG